CUCGUCGACCUCCCACCCCCAGAGAGAGAGAAGCAGAGAGCAAUGGAGGCGGAGUGGAACGGCCUCGGCAAGUCGGUCCCCUACGCUCUCCUCCGUGUCGCUACCUCGGAGGAGGGGCUCGACUCGCUGGACGGCGCGCUGGCCGAGCUCGACGUGCGCGUCGAGAUGGCGCGCAGGCUCGCCCUGGGUCCGAUGGCCCGCGCGGACGGCGUCCACGUCGCCGGCGACCCGCAGGCGGCUACGGUUCUGCUCCAGGCCGCCCGCGCCGAGAUAGCGCGCGCCCGCUCCGCCCACGCCGAGGCCGGCCUCCUCUUCGCCCUCUACCGCCGCCAGGUCGCCUGGAGCGACCCUGCGCUCGAGGGGAUCUACGACGACCACCGGGCGGAGGCCAACCUCUGCGCCAAGAGAUCUCUCCACCUCCUCCACGCCGCCGCCUCGUCGACGCAGUCCGCCGUCAACGUCUACGCCGUCGCCCAGAGCGUGCCGUACGGAUCGCCGCUCUGGGACGGCUGGACCUCCGCCGCGGAGCACCUGGCGCGCCGCGCCCACGAGGAGGCCUCCGCCGCGCGCCAGGCCCUGGUGGGCAUGCACCACGCGAUUAGCUUGCAGUUCUUCGACUAG
rnacentral:rRNA from 1 species